AGUCGUAACAAGGUUUCCGUAGGUGAACCUGCGGAAGGAUCAUUGUCGUGACCCUUAAACAAAACAGACCGUGAACAUGUCAUCCAUGCUGCCGGGCUUCGGCCUAGCCUUGGCCCCUGUCCUCUAUUUCAGAGGACACGGGCCACAAAAGAACCCACGGCGCCGAAGGCGUCAAGGAACACUAAUAUUGCUUUGCUCGGUGCUACGAUUGGCUUGCCACUCGUGCAGCGAUGCUAUAUGAAUCAACACGACUCUCGGCAACGGAUAUCUCGGCUCUC
rnacentral:misc_RNA from 1 species